UGCGGAGGGGCUCGGAGAGGACGGCGCCGCUGGGAAGACCGGACCCGGCACCGGGUCGGCGCUCCGGGUUUGGCCCGAGGCGACCUAAGUUCGGACGGGCUGUCAACCCUAAAAACUAGAAGGAAAGGAGAGCAAAAGACUGGAAACGCUCCAGUGUUCACCAGUAGGAGCUGCGGGAAGAAGGUGUCGGGAAGGUGUGCAGCCUCGCCCUGGAGCAGCUGUGAAAGACUGCUCCCAUGUUCUGUCCCAGAGUGGCCCUCAGAACGUAUUGUUAAGAAAGAUAAUAAUAAAGUUGCAGAACAGCG